rnacentral:ncRNA from 2 species
GGACGAACCUCUGGAGAGACUCUUUAAGAGCACCGAAGGGGAAAGCCAAAAUUUUGGUGAAACUCUCAGGUAAAAAGGACAGGGGAUUUCAU